CGGAAAACUGGGGAUAAUACCCUAUAGACUAUGGAUGCUGGAAUGCUUCGUAGUUGACAGGUCCGCCGCUGUAGGCUGGGUCUGCGGCCGAUUAGGUUGUUGUUGGGGUAACGGCCCAACAAGCCUGUAAUCGGUACGGGUUGUGGGAGCAAGAGCCCGGAGAUGGAUGCUGCGACACGAAUCCAGGCACUACGGGGCGCAGCAGGCGCGAAAACUUUACAACGCGGGAAACCGUGAUAAGGGAACUCUGAGUGCCAGUAAAAUCGGGCUGUCCAUCAGUUUAAAGAACUGGUGAAGAAAGGGCCGGGCAAGACCGGUGCCAGCCGCCGCGGUAACA
rnacentral:rRNA from 1 species